rnacentral:ncRNA from 1 species
UACCUGGUUGAUCCGGCCAGUAGUCAUAUGCUUGUCUCAAAGAUUAAGCCAUGCAUGUGCAAGUAUGAACCAAUUUGAACUGUGAAACUGCGAAUGGCUCAUUAAAUCAGUUAUAGUUUGUUUGAUGGUACGUGCUACUCGGAUAACCGUAGUAAAUCUAGAGCUAAUACGUGCAACAAACCCCGACGACUUUUGGUUGGGAGGGGAGGGGAGGGGCGCGGGCGCAUUGCAUUUAUUAUUAUUAGAAUUAGAUAAUAAAAGGCU